AGAGGGAUUUUUUAUUUUGCCUGCGUUAUGAGAGAAACGCAGGCUUUGUGAAAAGCUGUGACCCGUGGAAAAAUUGGCAAGUUUUCAAAGUGACUAUCACCAUAUAAAUGCUUAGAAACACUGAAUAACUCCAGGCUUCUUAAGGUCUGAAAACGAAAUGUGUUUCUUCCCAAAGUGUGACUACCACGAUAAUUGCUCUGAGGCAAACAGUCUCUUUCAGCCACUUGUGUUGACCAAGGGAUGUGAAAACCGUCAACAAACUUUGUUGGGGCUCCUCAAGGUGCGGAAUUCCCAAGCACAUGAAUGGCCAACCUGGCCACAUCCUGUGCUCAUGGGCAUCCUGAAGGCAAGGGGUGUGUUGAGGCAAAAGUUGAAGGGGCAGAAAAGUGCUGGGCUCUUGCAAACUUAAAGUUGUUUUGGGAAUGCUGCUGUUCAAAAAUGAUCCUCUCUGUUCCUUGGACUUCUCUAAUCCAUCCUAGAAACCUCUACGUUCAUUCUUUGAUUCAUUCUAUCCUCCAAAUGCUUUCUCCUCUAAUUCAUGUCAUCUUUAUAUGUUUGGGCUUGAACUUCAUCAAGCUGGUUUUCAUCUCUCUCUCAGUAUGUUCUCAAUAUUAGACGUGUCAGAGGUCAUCUGUAAUUGCCAUAUUGAAAGAAAAUAUAAAGUAGCACUGAUAUUAAUAACACUGCAGUCCAUAUACUGCAUCGUGAUAAUUCCCACAGCCUCUGUACAGAUGUUGGAUAGAAGAGGUGAUCAGCACCGAGUGCUGUUGAAUAUUGCAUCUGGGAAGCCUCAACAGAAGGAAAAACCAUCUGCCACCAUCUGGGAACACUUAGUGAGGAAUCAUUGGGACCACACUAAGGCAUUUCUCUCUCUGAGCCAGGUCAUGCAGCUGUGUCAGGGAUUUUGCAUGCUCCACCAUGUGAAAGGCCACCAGAGCUUUGAGUCAUCUGCAAGUCACCAGGCAUCUGGCCAUGGUCACUGGUUGAGAUAUUUUUAUCAUUACGCUUAGCGUAGGUGAGGUGCAGUGGCGUAGGAGAAGUGAUUUCAGUGAGGCAGUUGUUAGCCAAGCAAGUACAGUCUGGAAGAGAUUUCAUUAGCAGACAGCAGAGUAAAGUGCGUGGUGUUGGUGUGUGUCCCCCGCAAGAGCUGUUGGCAGCUUCCUCUUGAGAAGAAGUAGUGAUUCAUUCUUCCAGGAGCAGACUUACACAGUCCCUGUAGUUAUUUUCCUGGCCAAGUUGGAAUAGUCUAGAUUCUAGAUUAGUUAUUCAUAUUACAGUAGUUGCUCGAAAAUCCCUAUGUGCAAUGUACUUUAGAAGUACAAAGAAACAGGCAAUCCCUGUGCUAAUUUGGAGAUGUGAGGUGGACGAGAGAAAAACUAAGCAACUUUCUCAGUGUCAGUAGGAGAUUCUGGAAAAUAAUGUGAGCUGAAUGAAUAUCUUCCAAGCACUGCAGUAGCAUAAUUACUGUACAUAAUAAUUUAUAGUCAUUGACAGAUUGUAAAAAGCAACUGUAGUGUGACUUCUGUCAAUAAUUUACUGAGUGAUUUUAUGCUCAAAUUAAUAUAUUAAGUUACACACAAAAUUGAUGGAUAAAUAAUGUCUUUCAAAUGUGGUAAACACUUGUAAAACAUUGUAUUGAAAAUAGGCACUAUAACUGAACUGUCAAAGGUUUUAAUUCAGAUAUUUACGCACACGCAGCUUUAGCUAUGCAGUAAAAUUAUUUUGAGUAUUAUAAUUAGAUAAACACAUGUUGAGGGUGCUAAAAAGUACAGGUCUCUCCUCUACUGAGUACAUCAUACUUGCUGGAGUAUGACACUCCAGUCUAAUUGAACUCAAAGACCAGUCAGAGCAAGGGAUGUGGAUCUUCUAAGUCCAGCCACUUAUACAAUCUUCAUUUUCUCCUCUUCUUCCCUCCCUGACUAAAGAAGCUAUCAUUGAUAAAUGCACAGAAAUGCCUAUAUCAUUCUAAAACUUGUAGUCCGAUGGAAGACACAAUAAGCAAUAAUAAUGAAUAAUCGUUCCAUCCUGUAAAAUAGCAUUUGUGAAAGAAUAAACUGUAAAAUAAAGAUUAUUUAUAAUUGUUGCUGAUUGUGUAAGGUGGGCAAAUAUGUACACAUUCAGAAUAGGAUUUUUUGCUGUUUAUUUAAUUUUCUUUUUUUUUCACCUCUAAAUCUGUAUUUGACACUGUGAAGAAAAUUGAAGCUUAAACAUGUUCAUGCCACCAGAAGGUGAGAACUUUGGCUUAGUGCAGAACUUCCUUGUCUAAGGAUAUUAAAAGCCAUUUUGUUUUUUAUAGGAAUGAUUGUAUGUUUGUGGGCUUUUCACUGGAUUGAAUUGUAGCUUCAGAACAGGACCCAGUGGAGAACUGAGAGGAUCGAGUUGACAAGCAACUGAAACACAUACUUCAGCCUUUCACAGCAGCUAUUAAGAAGCUUCCAAUAUGCAAUUUUUUGAUAACAGUCUUGAAAGCCUUUUUGGUCUGCAUCUAAUGUGGGUACAAUGGAGUCCAGGAUGAGCUACGGCAAGAUGUAUUUAAAGACAAGAGUGCAACCAGCAAAUAGUGAGUCCCCACAAUGGAUUUUGCAAUUGAAAAUCUGGAACAUGAGCAUUUCCAGCGAGGCUUUGGAUGGAGUCCUAGACAGGAGGCUUAGAAACACUACCAGGAGAGGAACCAAACCAGGUUUGAAACAAGUAUUUGAACAUCUACUGCUAUGCACAUCUGCAGGCUUUUCUGGGGUAAAAAGUAUUGCACCUUUGUUUUAGGAAAUUUAACAAGAUACAUAAGUAACAGUAGUGAUUUCAGAGAAUUGUAAAUACCUAUUACCUUCACACAAUCCAAUUCUCACCAUAUUAUUCAAUAUUUAUAUUUUGAUUAAAAGAAUAUACCCUUUAUCUGGCCUUUUUAUUCUUAACACCAAAGACUGUUGAAAAUCAAAUGUUUCAUUACAUACACCAAUACUUCCCAGUCAUUUUGAAACAAUUAUUUUAAAUUAAUAUUUCCCUUUAAAGUGUCUUUCAUUUUCAACUGACUGUAUCUUUUAUGUAAGAAGACUGUGAAACUGUUUGUCAAAUGUGAAGGCAGCACCUCUGUGUCACUGUUCCAGGGCUGGAAAAAGUUGCUGCAGCCCCAGCAAAAGUGAGGCAUUGUUCCAUGAAGGAUGAGUAAAGUGGUUUGCAUGGGGCUGCUAUCCCAAACUCUCAGUUGCCAUCUCUGCUUCUGAAGUGCAGUACAUUUUAGAAUAGGUUUUACAGUUCUCUGUGGAGAGUAAUUUAGACUUACUGUGCUAAAUUGUAAUAACAACAUGGAGAGAGAAUAAUUCUAGACAUUUCUUGGUAUCAUAUUUUACUUGGCUCAUUUAAAGUAGCAAUAAAAUUUUGAUUUUAUUUAUUUUACAGAAUCCAAAAUGCUGCUGAUGCAUUGCAAAGUGUAGCAAGUCUUAUCUGUGCUCCUGUAAUUUAUACAGCAUGUGUGACUAGACGGAGCAGUAAGUCAUUAAUUCACGCCCAGGAUUAGCGAACUUUUUGUUAAAUCCUCAGAGUUUACCUGUUCUGGCUUCUGGCUUCUUUUUGUGGUUCCUUCAAAGCCUGUUUCUGAUAACACAGGUUUAGGAGCAUUUUGGACUUGUGCAUUCAGGACUGAUCAGGGACUGCUAAUAAAAUCCCAUCUAUUUCUGCACUAAGAA